rnacentral:rRNA from 1 species
GCUGGCGACAAUAGCAAGAGUGAACCACCUGAUCCCUUCCCGAACUCAGAAGUGAAACCUCUUAGCGCUGAUGGUAGUGUGGAGUUAUCCAUGUGAGAGUAAGUCAUCGCCAGCUC